GACACUUUCUCUGCUGUGGAUGCCACUUUCGGAAUACGCCAGAAACAUGCUCAGCACUAGGAGCUCUCCAUCCUGGACCUGUUUUUGGGUUUGCUUGCUCUCUCUCUUUCUCUGGGCUGAUCGUUUGGAGGACAGUCAUUCUUGCCAGCAUAAUCCCAGGAGCCUGACUACCUUGCUGGGCCACAGGCUCCAAGAGGCAGUGUGCCUGCCAGCACCCUCACAAGAAGGGGCAUGGAGGCGCCAGGCAGCCAGGAAAGACAGAUGUCCUGGGGAGGUAGAGGGGGUGGUCUGAGUUUGGAUAUGGACUGAAAAAACAAGGGGAGAGGGCGACAAGAUUUUCCAAAUAUCUUAUUUUUACAAUCAUCACUUCCUAAGCUGAUGCAACUGACUCAGCAGGCAUUCAGGAACCUGCCUUCUCCAUUUUCCUGUCCGAAAAUCCUCUGCACCUUGUUUGGAUUGGCUGUUGGCCAAGGCAACUGAGGAGCAUUUCCAAAAAGCAGGCAUCUCCCUUCACCUUCACCUUCGAACUUGCUGAACACCUGGAGAAUCAGGAGGUAUGUUUUCUGGACUGUGAUACCAGUAGGUUCACCAGCCUGACAGCAUUGUAAUUCAGAGCCUUGCUGCCAAGCCAAAAUCCUGCAGG